rnacentral:rRNA from 1 species
GUGCACCAGUCGCGAAAACUUUACAAUGUGCGAAAGCACGAUAAGGGAACUCUGAGUGCCUCCUAAGGAGGCUGUUCAGGUGUCUAAAAGCACCUGAAGGAAGGGCUGGGUAAGACCGGUGCCAGCCGCCGCGGUAACACCGGCAGCCCAAGUGGUAGCCACGUUUAUUGGGUCUAAAGCGUCCGUAGCCGGCUGGGUAAGUUCCUUGGGAAAUUUGGCUGCUUAACAGUCAAGCUUUCAGGGAAUACUGCCCGGCCUGGGACCGGGAGAGGUCAGAGGUACUCCAGGGGUAGGGGUGAAAUCCAUUAAUCCUUGGGGGGCCACCGGUAGCGAAGGCGUCUGACCAGACCGGGUCCGACGGUGAGGGACGAAGGCUAGGGGCGCGAACCGGAUUAGAUA